GCCAGGAAUGACCACAUCCUUCAAGGCAUGAGUCAAAGUGCUAGAGUGAUUCUUCUUAGAGCAUCCAUGUAUGUUCACGAGUUUAUUCAUACGACUAAUCUAGAGGGACCUUUAUAGUAGGGAAAACUUGUAACUCUUUUCAUGCAAGUUCAACAUUCCUAUAGGUGACAUUUUUCUUGGGAGCCACUAUCCUCUUAUUUUCUCAAGGUUAACUUCAUGGUAGUAUACAUGAGAAAGAUACUUUUGGUGGAGCAGGCUUCGUUAUUAGGAGUGCUAGUGGUGCUCUAAUAGCAGCAGGGAGAGUCAAAAUCUUUAAUACUACAGUUCUGAUGGCGGAAUUAUGUACUACUUGGAAAUGGCUAACUUAUGCUUCAAAGUUAUUAAGGACUUUCCAUAUUUAUUUAGAGGGGGAGUCUUUGAUAAUUAUUAGUGGCUUUGAUUCGACAUCUAUAGAUACCAAAUCUUAUCCUUG
rnacentral:lncRNA from 1 species